rnacentral:rRNA from 1 species
UACGAAGGGGGCUAGCGUUGCUCGGAAUCACUGGGCGUAAAGCGCACGUAGGCGGAUUGUUAAGUCAGGGGUGAAAUCCUGGAGCUCAACUCCAGAACUGCCUUUGAUACUGGCGAUCUUGAGUCCGGGAGAGGUGAGUGGAACUGCGAGUGAGAGGUGAAAUUCGUAGAUAUUCGCAAGAACACCAGUGGCGAAGGCGGCUCACUGGCCCGGUACUGACGCUGAGGUGCGAAAGCGUGGGGAGCAAACAGGG